UUAAGUCUAGCGCGUCUAGACGUCCUCCAGGUGUGGGGUUCGAUUCACACAAUACCCAAAAACCUUAAUAGUUGAAUAAUAAAAAUAAUAGAAAAGUCCCCUUCUAGGAAUUCAAUCCAAUGCACACGCGUUCAUCUUUCAUUUUCCCCCAAAUUGCUUUAGCCAUUUUUGUGUUCCUUCUUAGAUACAAACCCUUCCAUUUCACUUUCAUUAUCAAAUUUUCCCGUCAAAUGGAAAUAUUUCACCGAAUUUCGUCCUAUCAAUCAGCACUUCUCUACUCUUCUCACCUCGUUGCAUCCAUCAUCACUGUUCUCUCAUCACCCAGAAAACCCUAAUCUUCUUCCUUGCCAUUCAAAAUCAAGACAUAAAAUAGCUGAGGAGUAGAAUACUUGUCAAUCAAAGUUGAAAAUUCAAGCUGGGUUUUAGUGUUAGUGAUUUCAGUGUCUUGUUGAAAAUUUCAGAAUUUUCUUGUAGAAAAUCUGGAGUCUUUGCAAUUUGGAAAAUUUCAGUUGUAUUUGUAUUGGCAGGUGCAGGGAAGAAAAAAAAGAAAAGGAUCUCGACUGCUACUCUGAGUGCUCUCCCAAAUCUCUCUCCUCACUUUCAGACGAAAGUCACGAAAUUCGUCCAGAAAUUUCUCCAGGUUAUGAUGGCUCCGAUUAGGAAGUAUCCUUCUGGGGU